CCCGUUUUCAGCCGCCUGACAGCGCAGCUGCGCAGGCGCGAAGACGCCCCAGCCUAAUAAUCCUGAUCUGUUACCCAGGCUGGAGUGCAGUGAAUGAUCUCGGCUUAUUGCAACUUCCGCCUCCCAGGAUCAAGAGUUUCUGGUAUCUCAGCUUUCCGAGUAGCUGGGAUUAUAGACGUGCACCACCAUGCCUAGCUAAUUUUUGUAUUUUUAGUAGAGGCAGAGUUUCACCAUGUUGGCCAGGCUGGUCUCAAACUCCUGGCCUCAGGUGAUCUGCCCACCUCGGCCUCCCAAAGUGCUGGGAUUACAGGCGUGAGCCACCACACCUGGCCCUCAUUCUCUUAGCAGUGUAUUUUGAAGAGAAGUUUUAACUUUUAAUAAAGUUUAAUUUAUUUAUUA
rnacentral:lncRNA from 1 species